rnacentral:lncRNA from 1 species
CGACCUUGUCUCGUCUGCGGGCUCCAUCGGGGCUUUCCCCCGAUCAGCUGCCCCGACCGACGGGACCGGCAGCGAGGGGACGCUUGAGUUCGACCCGGCGCCCCCCGUUGCGCCAACGGACGCCGCCGGACGAUGUUCGGUUUUCCGAACGUCAUCCGGCUCCACCCGCACCAGCGAAGCCGCCGAUGUUCCCUCGGCCGCC